CCUUUUGCCUUUUUGUGUCAAAAGUUGUGGGCAGCUGUCGAUCCAACGUAUAUCAAAAUACAGCUUUCCCAUUAUGUACAUUAAAACAAAAUCCCAAAUUUUACACAUUUUGUAUGUAAUUUUUUAUAUCGACUCAAUUUUCUUCAUUUUUUUUCUGUCUCAAAUUUUAGAAUAUAGUAGUAAACUGUAUACUCAAAUUUUCUACUUAAUGGGAAGAACGGCUUCUUCCGUUCAUAAAACAC
rnacentral:lncRNA from 1 species